CCAGUUUUGCCAACCCUAGUUGAGCCAAUAAAAGGAAGCAACCCUCUUCAAUUUCUGAAGAUUAGGGCAAAGCUGUAAAGGAAAUUGAAUUCAGCGCCGUUUUUUUUUUUUUUAAUUUCAAAGAAACGUGGAAUAGGGCGAGAGCUCUAGGCAAAUGACUUGGAGUUACAUCUAUCCAGACCAACUGAAGGGCAUUCGCAUAGAACUCUCGGACCUAUUCCUUGUUCGCCUUUGUUGAUAUGUGACUGAAGCUUACCCAAUCCUUAUUAGUUGGUUCUUGAAUGCGUAAUUUGUUCGUGCCAACAAAAAGAAGCAAUUGUCUUCCAUUUAUAAAGGCUAGGGCAAAGCUGUAGAGGAAAAUGCCCAUAAGAGGUUUGAUAAGCGCCGUUUUGUCUCAAGAAAAGCUGUAGAGUGCUACGAGGACUACAAGGGCAACAUGACGACCCUUGCUGUACAUUCCCCUCAAUGUACGAGAUCCUGAUUAUUUAAAGGUUGACUUUCACUCACAUCCCAACAAAAGGAAACAAGGAAUAGGUCCGAGAAUUCUUUGCAAAUGCCUUGAAACUACAUCUAUAAGUGAGGCAUUGGUGCCUUUUGUAUAGCUUGGUAUUCAUUAUCAGUUCCAACUUCCAACAAAAGUUGGCAAGUUAUAAGCUUUGUUUAUUGCAGCCGGAGAGAAAUUUACAACCCAUCCCUUCACUUGACUGAUGUAGUUCUUAUGGUUUAAGGCAUUAGCAUAUAAUUCUUGGACCCUUUCCUUAUUCCAGUUACUGAAGAAGCAAAAGGAGCUGAAGCGGAAGAUGGUGCAUCAGAAGUGCUAAUGCCCCACGAGGUGAUUAGGAGCACAAGAUUUAAAUCUUAUGGUUCAACUUUUAAAGUUUUUAGUAUCGAAUUCAUUAUAUUUUUAAAGUUAUGGGUUCAUAUCUACUAUUUUUGUAAUUUUAA